CUCUUUGAAACCUCAGUGGAGAGCAGUUCUCACAGUUGGGUGGACACAAGUCAUCCAUGGAACUUGUUAAAAUGCAGAUUUCUAGGUGCUGCCACCUAAGAGGCUGAUUGGGUAGGCCAGGGGUGGAGUCCUAUGAUCUGCACCUUAACGUGCAUCUCAGGUGAUUCUGCUGCAGGUGGUAUUUGGAAGACACUCUGAGGCGCCCUGCCAAGCUGGGCAGUGGGUUCUUCCAAUGUGUCAGGCAUACCCUGGUGCUUUUCGCUCUCAGUUACUUGGGCAUGUUGUGAGUACCACGUGACCAUGCAUAAAGUGCUGUAACAGAGCUCUGACUGUGUCAAGAUAUUCAAGUGGACGCCACAGGGUAAAAUGAGAGCACAGGCAUGUUGGGAGUUGAAUCAGCUGCCUUCAGUCACGAGAACACACUGAACACUCCUUGUGACAGCUUCAGUUCAGGAAAGAGUGACUCUGCAGGAAAAGCACUGGCCUGGGAGACCUGGAUCUGGCCCAAAUUCUGGUGCUCACUUGCUUGGUCUCCCGUUCCAGUUGCUGUGAAUGUUGGUUCUGCCACUUGCUGGUUGUGCAGCCCUGGGCACUUGACCAGCAUAAUGUCAGCUGUAAAAUGAACAUCAUUCCUAACUCCGAGGACUGUGGUUAGGAUGAAAUAAAAGCAUAUAUGUGGGGGUGCCUAGCCCAGUGCCUGGCACAAAUUGGUGCUCAAUGAAUGGUAGUCACUAUGGUUAUGGUAAUGUUGAUGAAUCUUCAUAGGUCUCAGCUUCCUGAUCUAUAAAGCGGGUGGACUGACCUACAUAAGUCAGAGUUUCCAUCUAGCACUGUCAUCCCAUGGUUCGCUCUAUCCUGUUUGGAGACGGACAGGAUAAGCUUGAUGUCUCCUCAGCCUUGAGACAGAAGUUGUCCAGUAGAUGGUACUGAGCAAAAGUCUCUCCAGCAGAAGCCUUAGUUAAACCUUGCUUCUCCUGUAGCUGCUCAGUCUCUUGUAAGUCACUCAGCUCUGCAGAAACUUUCUUAGCGAGUUGACAACCACAGAUAACAGAGUCAGUUCUGUCGAUUUUGAUCAUGCUGUGAUCAGGCAGAUGUUAGCUAAUUGAUGAUGCUUGCCCGGAGUGAACAGCUCCAGGCCCUGUUUCCAGGGUCUUUGUGGUAACUUUGUGGUAACUGUAAUGCUUCCCAGGGGUCACUGAACACAGGGCCCAAGAGGCUGGUGUAGACCCCCAGAUUGGCACCCUGCUGCUUAGACAAGAUCCUUCUCAAUAAGUAAUGCCACAGCUUUGCUGUAGGUUCAGCCCAGACACUUCUCCCUAGGGCUGCAAGGAGCAAAGCGGGGAGUUUAGGGAAGGGAGGGCACGAACAUAAUUGAGACGGAUUCAGGUUCAAAUCCAGCCUCUGUUUUGUGCUAGCUCUGUAUGAUCACCAGCGAGUCAUGUAUCCUCUGCCUUUUAUUUCCUCUUCUGUGAAAAUAGGGGAUGAUAAAUUGUGUCUACCCUCCAGUGUUGAUGUGAGAAUUGAAUAAGCUAAUGAAUGUUUAGCACAGCACCUGGCUUUUAGUAGAUGAGUCAGUGUUAAUUUCUAUUUUCUCUUUGUGGGCUGAGUUGGAGAAAAUGUUUUAAAACAGCCUGAUGAGAAGAAAAGAUAAUUUAGCCCCAAUAAAUACAUUGUCCACAUAAAGACCAGUUACUAUGGCACUUCUCAUACCUGGAACUUGGGUGCCUGGGCCAUGCCAAUUAGCAGAGUUCCUGUGGGCACACACUUGAGAGGCUCCUAAAGACCUGGGUUAGAUCCAGGUGCUGGAGGCCU
rnacentral:lncRNA from 1 species